rnacentral:rRNA from 1 species
UGCAGGAAGACGGCUCUAUGAGUUGUAAACUGCUUUUGUACUAGGGUAAACGCUUCUACGUGUAGGAGCCUGAAAGUAUCGUACGAAUAAGGAUCGGCUAACUCCGUGCCAGCAGCCGCGGUAAUACGGAGGAUUCAAGCGUUAUCCGGAUUUAUUGGGUUUAAAGGGUGCGUAGGCGGUUUGAUAAGUUAGAGGUGAAAUUUCGGGGCUCAACCCUGAACGUGCCUCUAAUACUGUUGAGCUAGAGAGUAGUUGCGGUAGGCGGAAUGUAUGGUGUAGCGGUGAAAUGCUUAGAGAUCAUACAGAACACCGAUUGCGAAGGCAGCUUACCAAACUAUAUCUGACGUUGAGGCACGAAAGCGUGGGGAGCAAACAGGAUUAGAUACCCUGGUAGUCCACGCAGUAAACGAUGAUAACUCGUUGUCGGCGAUACACAGUCGGUGACUAAGCGAAAGCGAUAAGUUAUCCACCUGGGGAGUACGUUCGCAAGAAUGAAACUCAAAGGAAUUGACGGGGGCCCGCACAAGCGGAGGAACAUGUGGUUUAAUUCGAUGAUACGCGAGGAACCUUACCCGGGCUUGAAAGUUAGCGACGAUUCUUGAAAGAGGAUUUCCCUUCGGGGCGCGAAACUAGGUGCUGCAUGGUUGUCGUCAGCUCGUGCCGUGAGGUGUCGGGUUAAGUCCCAUAACGAGCGCAACCCCUACCGUUAGUUGCCAUCAGGUCAAGCUGGGCACUCUGGCGGGACUGCCGGUGUAAGCCGAGAGGAAGGUGGGGAUGACGUCAAAUCAGCACGGCCCUUACGUCCGGGGCGACACACGUGUUACAAUGGUAGGUACAGAGGGUCGCUACCCAGUGAUGGGAUGCGAAUCUCGAAAGCCGAUCUCAGUUCGGAUUGGAGGCUGAAACUCGCCUCCAUGAAGUUGGAUUCGCUAGUAAUCGCGCAUCAGC